rnacentral:rRNA from 1 species
AGAGUUUGAUCCUGGCUCAGAACGAACGCUGGCGGCAGGCUUAACACAUGCAAGUCGAACGGUUGUAGCAAUACAGCAGUGGCGCACGGGUGAGUAACGCGUGGAUAUCUGCCUUUUGGUUCGGAAUAACUCCGGGAAACUGGAGCUAAUACCGGAUGGUUCCUGCGGGAUAAAGAUUUAUCGCCAAAAGAUGAGUCCGCGUACGAUUAGCUAGUUGGUGAGGUAAUGGCUCACCAAGGCGACGAUCGUUAGCUGGUCUGAGAGGACGAUCAGCCACACUGGGACUGAGACACGGCCCAGACUCCUACGGGAGGCAGCAGUGGGGAAUAUUGGACAAUGGGGCAACCCUGAUCCAGCCAUGCCGCGUGAGUGAUGAAGGCCUUCGGGUUAGUAAAGCUUCUUUGGCGGGGACGAUGAUGACGGUACCCGCAGAAUAAGCCCCGGCUAACUUCGUG